rnacentral:rRNA from 1 species
CAGUAGCCGCGGGAAUACGAAGGGUGCAAGCGUUACUCGGAAUUACUGGGCGUAAAGCGUGCGUAGGUGGUGGUUUAAGUCCGUUGUGAAAGCCCUGGGCUCAACCUGGGAAUUGCAGUGGAUACUGGGUCACUAGAGUGUGGUAGAGGAUAGUGGAAUUUCCGGUGUAGCAGUGAAAUGCGUAGAGAUCGGAAGGAACAUCUGUGGCGAAGGCGACUAUCUGGGCCAACACUGACACUGAGGCACGAAAGCGUGGGGAGCAAACAGGAUUAGAUACCCGGUAGUCCCUGUCUCUUAUACA